rnacentral:rRNA from 6 species
GGGUGCGAUCAUACCAGCGCUAC